ACCUGAUUAAUCUGAUCAAUUGUGUCCGUGCCCUGGGGCUCCGUGCGCAUGUACGGAACUUGGAGCGAGCAGGGGAGCAUCGCCCGGAUGCAUGGAGGCCAUGCAAGCGGUGUAGCAUUCCAUUAUAAAAAGAGGAAGGAAAAACAGAUGUCCAAUUUCCAGAUGCUAUUUGGUGACAGAAUGCCAGCUAGAAAGCCAGCACUUAAGACAGUUAGCAUAUUUGUUCAUCGACCUAAUAGUAAGUAUUUACUAGUAUAUCAAGAGUGUAACUUUAGCCUCUCUGAACAUCCAUAUAGUGGGAACCGGCUUUCUAGUGGUCUCUCCACCAACUAAUAACAAGUGUGUAAUUCAUAAAUGUUGGCUCUUCCGCUCUGGGCUAGAAACCGUGGGGGACAUACACCAGUUGAUGCAGAGCUUGACCUCACCUGGGCACAAAUUACAGGCCAUGAUUUGCACACAAGAAACAAUUAGAGAAUAAAUCAAAAUGUCUCUCUGUCCACA